rnacentral:rRNA from 1 species
AGAGUUUGAUCCUGGCUCAGAACGAACGCUGGCGGCGUGGAUAAGACAUGCAAGUCGAACGCUUGCUUCAGGGUAGCAAUAUUCUGGAGCAGGAGUGGCGGAAGGGUGCGUAACAUGUGGGUAAUCUGCCGUGAAGGCUGGGAUAACUUGCUGAAAGGCGAGCUAAUACCGGAUGAGAUAGCCAGGAGGCAGCUUUUGGCUAUGAAAGUUGGGGACUGUAAAAGGCCUGACGCUUCAUGAUGAGCCCGCAACCUAUCAGCUAGUUGGUGAGGUAAAGGCUCACCAAGGCUAAGACGGGUAGCUGGUCUGAGAGGACGACCAGCCACACUGGAACUGAGAGACGGUCCAGACACCUACGGGUGGCAGCAGUCGAGAAUUUUUCACAAUGGGCGCAAGCCUGAUGGAGCGACGCCGCGUGGGGGAUGAAGGGCUUCGGUCCGUAAACCCCUGCCAUUUGCGAACAAAGCUGCUGGCCCAAUACGCUAGCAGUUGAUAGUAGCAGAAGAGGAAGGGACGGCUAACUCUGUGCCAGCAGCCGCGGUA